rnacentral:rRNA from 1 species
GUACACGCUGUGACUAGCAUAUCAAUAAGCGGAGGAAAAGAAACUAACAAGGAUUCCCCUAGUAACGGCGAGUGAAGCGGGAAGAGCUCAAAUUUGAAAUCUUAAAGGGUUUCCCUUUACGAAUUGUAGUUUAAAGAAGUGUUUUCUGUUGAGGUUUUGGUAAAAGUUCUUUGGAAUAGGACAUCAUAGAGGGUGAGAAUCCCGUAUUUGACCUUUACUUUCAACUUUGUGAUACACUUUCAAAGAGUCGGAUUGUUUGGGAAUGCAGUCCAAAAUGGGUGGUAAAUUUCAUCUAAAGCUAAAUAUUGGCGAGAGACCGAUAGCGAACAAGUACCGUGAGGGAAAGAUGAAAAGAACUUUGAAAAGAGAGUUAAACAGUACGUGAAAUUGUCAAAAGGGAAGCGUUUGACACCAGUGUUGUUCUUUCUGAAAAUCAAUUAAAGAACUGUUUAUGCUAAGUUGUUUAGACUUUAUCAGCUAACUGUUUAGUUUUGAGCUUUUCUUUAAUGCACUUUUCAGUUAACAAGUCAACAUCAAUUUCUUUUGCUGUAAAAAAGCUUGAGGAAGGUGGCUUGAGAUUCGUCUUAAGUGUUUAUAGCCUCUUGCCUAUGCAGUCGGAGAGAUUGAGGUCUGCAGCGUAGAUCCUUCGGGGCUAGAUGCAUUUGUGCUAAGUUAUAGCAUUUUAUAGACAACUUGUUGACUAUGAUUUAGUCUUGUAGCUUACUCGCUUAUGUUAUUUUACCUACGCUUAGGAUGUUGACACACGCGCGUGCUCGACUCUAUACAUGACUCUGUGCAUAUCAAUAAGCGGAGGAAAAGUCAGCUACCUACGCUUAGGAUGUUGACACACGCGCGUGCUCGGCUCUAAUACAUGACUCUGUGCAUAUCAAUAAGCGGAGGAAAAGUCAACUACCUACGCUUAGGAUGUUGAUCUACAGAGCGAGAGU